GAUGAACGCUGGCGGCGUGCCUAAUACAUGCAAGUCGAACGAAGCCUUCGGGCUUAGUGGCGGACGGGUGAGUAACACGUUGGUACCUACCUCGAAGUGGGGAAUAACUGGCCGAAAGGUCGGCUAAUACCGCAUGUGAUCGCAAGAUCAAAGUCGCAAGACGCUUCGAGAGGGGCCUGCGUCCCAUUAGCUAGUUGGUAGGGUAAUUGCCUACCAAGGCGACGAUGGGUAGCUGGAUCGAGAGGUUGACCAGCCACACUGGGACUGAGAUACGGCCCAGACUCCUACGGGAGGCAGCAGUAAGGAAUCUUCCACAAUGGACGAAAGUCUGAUGGAGCAACGCCGCGUGCAGGAUGACGGUCUUCGGAUUGUAAACUGCUUUUAUAUGGGAAGAUUAUGACGGUACCAUAUGAAUAAGGACCGGCUAACUACGUGCCAGCAGCCGCCGCUG
rnacentral:rRNA from 1 species